rnacentral:tRNA from 1 species
GCUUCCGUGGCUCAGUCGGUAGAGCAACGCAUUCGUAAUGCGUGGGUCGGGGGUUCGAGUCCCCCCGGGAGCU